UGUAGGCGCCUCGAAUCCACGCCGAUUAAAAUACGGCCUGGUGUUCAUUGCAUGGCACAUGCGCUGAACAAUUACCCAGAAUCUGGGUAAUUGUGCACGCCAGUAAAACUUUUAGUAAAUUAAUGUUACCGUAAACUAGCUUGUAAUACUUGGAAUUUUGGAAUUUGUUCCGUGUUACUGUUAUUGUUUGAAUAACAAUGGCAUUGAUGCGUUUUGUGAAGCUGUGGCUUAUGCUCUUCGUUGCGUUGGUCUGGAGGAUCUCACACUGAAGCCAAAGCAAAAGGAGGCUCUCAUCCACGGUCAUGAUGUCUUUGCUUGGUUCCCCACGGGCUAUGGCAAGUCUUUGUGCUUCCAACUGUUGCCCUUCAUGUUUGACUUCAAAACAAGCUCGAGCUCUGAGAGAAGUGUUGUGCUGGUGCUGUCACCACUACUGUGAUAGACCAGGUCUCAGGCCUCCGGAAGAGGGGUGUCUCUGCUGCUAUAUUGUCUGGCAACAAAGAUGUCGAGAAGGACCUCCUUGCUAGUGUGAGUGAGGGUCGGUUCUCCCUCCUCUAUAGUGCACUCGUGGAAGCAGCUCCUGGUCCAACGUCCCCUCUGUGACUCUGUAGUGGCAGUCGCUAUUGAUGAAGCACACUGUGUGUAUAAGUGGAGUAAAGACUUUCAACCUGCACCAAGAGGAUGAGGGACUAUGUUGUUCAGAACCUUGGCAUGGCAGGCUACUAUAUGGUGUCUGAGUCUCCCAACAAGUCUGUUAUGAGGCGGUCAGUCAGAAAGACAACAAUUGAGGAAGACUUUACAUUCGUUGUGGCAGACUUGUUGGACAACACUGUCAAGGCUCGACGUAUAGUUGUCUACUGCCAGUCACUGAACAUGUGCGCGAGUUUGUAUGAGCACUUCAAGUACACUCUGAAGGAUGCUGGCUACUACCCUCCAGGAGCUGAACAGAUCAGUGACAACACAAUGUUCGGAAUGUUUCACUCCUGUACUGACGAACACAACAAGGCAGUUAUAAUGGAGAGUCUUGGGAAGCCUGACGAUGUUGUCAGGAUUGUGUUUGCGACGAUGUAUAGGGGUGGACUUCAAGAACUUAGACUCCACUAUGGUGCCCCUAGGUCACUGGAAGACUACUUUCAAGAGAGCGGUUGAGCUAUAAUCAGCAGUUGUUGGCUAGAGUGUACUGGAGGCCAGUCGCUUAGCUGUCCCAGGGGAGGCUUUCUAUCGAUACGCCAUAAUGAGAUUUGUGAUAUGACUGCAACCGUAAUGAGCGAAGUCUGCCACAACGUGAAAAUAGAACCUGGAUUACAACCUGUAACUGGGGAGCAAUUCGAUCAAUUGGACAUUGUCGCACAAAGACAGAGUGCAUUCUUUGAUGUUAGGGUUUUUAACCCAUACGCACCUUGCUACCGCAACUCCACCCAGAAUGAGUUAGAGAAGAAGAGAUGUUAUGAAGAGCGCAUUAGAGAGAUAGAACACGGCUCGUUCACCCCACUGGUUCUGUCUGCUGCUGGAGGAAUUGGCCCAGCGGCAACCAUCGUAUACAAGAGGUUGGCAUCACUAAUUUCAGAGAAACAAGGAAGUUCUACCCCCCCAUUGGGUGAGAUGCAGAUUAAACUAAACUUCUCUCUACUAAGAUCGGCUGUAAUGUGCAUCCGUGGCUCCCGAUCUACCUUCGCUUCUGAAGUCAAUACAGAUUUUAUCGACCUGGCCGUCCACGAAGGCCAGGUGCAAUCUUUUUAACUAACCUUUUUUUAACUCAACCAUAUAAGAAUAAUUAGAUCUAAACAUAUAUAUAACCUAAACAUAUAUAUAACUUUCCUUUCCUGUAUUGUCACACGUACACAUGAUUAUUUGAAAAAAAAAAAAAAAAAAAGUUGAAGCUCCUGUACGGGCUGACCCAAGGAACUUGGAAUUGCAGGGACUAUCUUGAGAACACUGAGCUGUGCAGGAGAUUCAUGCUGUUGAAGUACUUCGAUCCCGUUGUUGCCAGGGACAUGAAGUCUCGGGACAAGAUGUUCUGCUGCGACAACUGUCGAUCCAUUGCUAAGUGAGGUGACUCGAUCUCAUUAUAAUGAAAAAUCUCUGUGUCUGGUAUAUUGUCAAGUCCAUACGAGGCACUGUACACGUCUGCAUCCUCAGUGUCGGAGUCAGUUCUCAUAGCAGUUUUGCUCAUUGUGUACUCUCUAGCUUUCCUCUUUUGUCUGUUUAAUUUAUUCAGGGGGUCUGGGGAGAACUUGAGGAACAUCCUAUGACAUCUGUUCACAGUCACCUUGAGGAUAUCAGCCACAGAGGGUGGAUGCCGGUCUGGUUAUCAAAACUGACGGAGAGUGCUCUUGCUGCCCAGGUACUGGCUGCUUUCGAAAAGUUCGCACCCAUGUUCGAGAUUAUAUCUUUGAACAGCUUGUUGAUGUGCUCGUUAUGGAGAUCACAUGGGACCGUGAGUAUUGACGAAGCGGCCCCAGGUCAGCUGAUGAGAGAGCAACUUGAAACUGCAGCCUCAGUGCCUCAAGUGCGUACUUUGUCUUCCUUUCAGAAUGGAAGUGGAGCAUCAUGAUCUUCCACAGUCGAAGUACACGCUCACCGUCUCCUUCCUUCCAGGCGUCCACAAACAGCAGUACCAAGGAGGCGAAAUGAUACAACACUCGAGCAUACCCGUACACAUGAUCUCCAUUGUCUACCACAGGUUCUCCAAGCAGCGCCUCAGGGAUCACUGUGAACUCCUUGACCACUUUCUCUCUUCAACAGAUCCUGGUUGACCUCCUUGUCCUUAAUCUCACUAUCAGGACCUAGUGUGCAUAAUGUUCUCAGUCAGCCCGCUGUCCCUUUGAACACAAUGAGCAGAGAUUCAUCCUUCGGCUUCUUAGCUUUCGAGCGUCCAAUACGUGCGAAGAUACUAUUGAGACGUCUUCUUGACUGGCCUUGUACAAGAUGACAAAUUGCCAGUCCUCAAUACACGGCUCGAGAUUAUCAAUGCGACCUCCUGGACUAUUUGAGCACUGCACAUAUUUGAGCACUGCACAUGACGUUUAGCACACUGCUCUCGCUCACAUGUCAUGUGAGGUGAUCACCCCCAGUCAGUGCUGUGUGCUUGUAGUCGGACCCCAGCUCCGACUUUGCUGCCAUCUCUUCAUUGUAGGUGUGGUGACCAGCCCCUUGAUAUAAUCACACAGGAUUCUACUCACUAACACCUCAAGGUCUCCCUGGAUGACAGUGAUAUCUUCCUUGGUUGGUAGGAAGCUGUGUCUGUGCAGAGCGUAGGACGGGAGAAGUCAGAGACAGGAAAAGGAGACCUUCUUCUGGAUGUGGGUAGAAAAGAGGGCACACGAGAGAUAGGAUUGAAUCCCACACACACACAUCACCCUGUUACGCUCUGAUGGCCACUGCUGUAAACAGUCCUGGGAACUGCCGAUCUCCUUCUUGUUCCUCUUGGACGAGUUGGUGACAAGCACAACGUAGAAUCUCCUAGAGAGUAGGAGCCUUGGUCUCAAGCUCGGAGAUUGCUUGUGUCCACGCGAACCUCUCAGCCUGCUCAAGGGUCAUGGACCGAAACAGUGACACUGGCUGGGUGCACAACACACUAACACUCAUCAUUUAUGAUCCUUGAUACCCGAGCCACAAUAUCAUUACUGAGACAAGGAGUAGAGACCUGCAAAUGGAUUGAAGAUUUCCCCCAGCAAGUGCCUUUGCGAUCUUUUCCAGGUCAGGACUCAGGACUAACGACUACUGUACACUUACUUGGUAUAGAGCAGUCUCAAUAGAAGUUGCUUGAGUAACGUUGCUCCGAUCCCUCAGCGGCACAUCUCGUUUGCAGACUAACAUAUUACAGUAAUUUUAGAAACUCGUAAUUUUUAUCUUACUCUUGUCCUAGACGGGGAAACAGAGUCGCCUUCCAGCGGAUCCAGCGGAUCCAACGGGCUGAUGGUCUUGCUACGUGUGUGUGUGGAGACCCCACUAGUGUCUUUGAACUUGUUGGGCUGCCAGUGACAGGCCUGGGUAGAAGUGCCCUUCUCUUCUCAUAGCUAGCCUUGGCUAGAACUCUAAAUGACUCUGCUGACAGAAACUUUCUGUUGCAAGGCCUGCAAAUAUGGUGGGAGAGACGGAGUUAUUGGAACCUCUGUGAUUUUGCUGAGCCUCUCUGCAAGAUCUGAGGAAGGGCAUCCUUUGGGGAACACUGCAAUGUAAUGAGAGAAACUGCAGCAAGUCCUGCAGGAUAAGCCUAAGGAUUCUACGGUAGCCAUCUCUCAGUUGUUUAACCACUGUAUUUUUCCUACGAACCAUGCGGUAUAACAACACAGUGGCGGAUCCAGAGGAGGGUCCCCCCUUUUGAAGUUAACUUUAGAAGACACCAGCUAGCUAUUUAUCAGUUUUUGUAGCUAUUGUAAUUUGAUUCAAUGAUUGUACCUGUUGUUUUGAUGCAUCAACUGCUGCCAAAGGAGUGUUCAGGUUAGCUAGCCUAGGCUAGCUACAGUGGUUUGCAGAACAGCAGUAGGCGGUGGCUCUUAAGUGUUUUGUGGUUUUGUGGUUGUAAGCAUACAGUAGUAUUCACUAUUACAGUCAUGCCCAUCAAUUCAGGCCGCUUUUUCACUAAAUUCAAAAUAGUGGGAAAUUUGAAAUUGAGCUACUCUUCAGUGCUGCUUAUAAGGAAGAUGCCUUUGGCGAGGCCUAGCUGCAUCUGAGGACUUUCUUGGCC